CAGUAAAUAGUUUAUAAAAAAUAUUAAUUUUGGAGAUUAAAGAUAAGUCUAACUUUUUACUGA
rnacentral:tRNA from 1 species